ensembl:lncRNA
GGUCACAGGCCAUAUGUUCCACCAGUAAACAGUCCUGAGCACUCUCUUCCGAAGGCCAAUAGCUCCAGAGAAAUGCUUUCAAAUGUAAAAUUGUCCACACAGUGAUGCUGACUGCCACACAGCAACACCUACCUCUCAUCUCCUAGAUAAGCCAGGGUCUUAUCACAAGAAAUGCCUCAGAAAGCAAGCUUUGAACCAAAAACAAAGAAGGAUUGAGACACUACCCAAGAGUAGUAUUUACUUAAAUGGAAAUCAGCUCAAGUAAUUGAUCUUUUUUAGAAGCAAAAACAUGAUUUAAAACUUCAGAGGUGUGAAAUUCAAUCAUGCAAUUUUAAGCAGGAUCUUACAGUGAAACUUAAAGAAUUAAAAGCAGGGUUUUGGAGAAGAAUAUUUGCUACCUGUGAUGGAGUUCACUGACAAAUCUUUGUUAGUGUGAGGAGAUGGAUACUCUAAUGCUACAUUCAUUGAUCUUAAGAUGUGAAAGUUCUUUAUGAAGUAAAGCAACUUUAUUGUGCAAAGAUAUUUGCAGUUUUUCUCUUUUUCAGACUACUAUUAAUUCACUGGAAAGACGUCAGCACAGCAAGUCCCCUCCACAUUUGAGCUGUGUCCAUGAAGAUCUAUGAUCAUCGGGCUUUUAUUAGUACAAAUUUAAUGCACCACAACGCUGCUUCUUAAGAGAACAGAAGAACCUUUGAACCACAGCAGUGUGAUGAUAGGGAAGAAAAUAUGCAAAACUGAAACUCUUCCCUGGAAUGUUCCAGAGUGUCAAGAAAAUACGGAGCUUAGUUCAUCAAUUAAAAAAAUAAACAAAAAACAAACAAACAAACAAACAAACAACAACAACAAAAACUGUGCGCCUUGCAAGAGCCUAUUCUUUCCUCCUGUUAAGCAUUACCAUAUAUUGGAAAGAUUCAAUUGAGAUGCAAAUUUUAAUAGCAGAUGUGAUUCCAUUGGAGUACUGUCUAUACUUAAGCACCUAUUAAGUAGCUGCUCUCCCAGAUGAAAUCUGUCACAGUUUAAUAACUGGCUCUGUCAGGCUUUGCUUGAAUUCAGUAAGUCUUAUUGUUUAGGGAUAUAUUUGGCUGAUACUAAUAGCAGGAAUGGAACCUGAUUGGACAAAACAAAGUAAAGAAAUAAGUACUUUUUUACUUCACAGAGAGAAAGUAGAGUGCCCUAAGUAUUUAUGUACUUAAUCUUAUCAGAGUAGUUAAAAAAAAGAGAUUUUUUCUUAUUUUUUUAAUUAUUUUUUGCAAGCAAUUGAUUACUCUCAUUAACCGAUAAACUGUUACCCAAAAAUUAUCUUCCUACCGAUUAUGAAAUUAGUCCAGUUAAAUUUCAUUAAGAAGACUGUAUGUAAAGUUAAGCACUGGUCACUAGGGAUAAGUACCAUUUGCUCAAGGUCAUAUGAAAUCUAUUAGCAAAGACAACAAUUUUUGACUUCUAGUUAAGAACUGCCUUAAGCAUCAGCUCUUUUAUUUAAAUAAGCAUUUUAAUUCAUACAUACUUGUGAUUACUGAGAGUUAAUUGACUUAGACCUUCCUAUCUGAUGAAGGAGUCAGGAAAAUAUGAACACAAAAUGCAGGCUGUGUCUUUUA